rnacentral:lncRNA from 1 species
AAAAGGAAGCAGAAGAUCAACGUAAGACAGAAGUUAGGGACCCAAACCAGGAGUAGAGAGCAGCCAGUCCACUGGGAGAAGUCCAAGGGCUGUGGGAGCCAUCUCUUCGAGAAGACGUGAUGCUAGAAUUCAAAGGGAUCAUCUAAAAGGACUGAGCACGCCUGUACCAGCGACCAAGGCUGGGAGAACAAGCCGAUUCCUUCAACCGCGGCACGCAGGCCUCUGCAUCAUAAUUCCCUGCUUAUCCCUCUGCCUGUCUUCUUGAAUCUGAGCUCUACAAGCACAGGGACCAGGCCCCAUUUAUCUUGUUGCCCCGGCACCUAGCCCAGUACCUGUCACACCGCAGGCCCUCAAUUACAUGUUUGUGGAAUGAAUCAUUGUAGGUUCAAGCUGGGAGGGAACUUUCAUUUGAACCCUAUCAUUUUACGGGUUAGGAAACUGAGGCCCACAAAGAAGAAAUGAUGGGUUCCCUAGUGCUCAGGUGGUGGGUGGUAGUUCCAGGGUUACCCUGUCAACCUCUGGAUGCUCUGUCCAUCGCUCCUGCCACACCAGGGCUGCCUUCUAAGCUGCCUAGAAGUGACAGUUAUGGGAGCUGAGCAGCUCUCUUGGGGAGAUGAUUGAAAGAGAGGGAGAGGGAACAAGAAGAGGGAAGACAAGCCACCCGGGAGAGGGAGGUGUUAGAGAGGUGGGUGCGGCUCCUACUAGGAUGGUGUAAUGUUGCCCAAGCCGAGGGAACAGCAUCUCCCAGAAGAGGAGGUGGCCAGCCGGGACCCAGCAGGGGGCUCCCCCCUCUGAGGCCCCCCUGGAGCUCAGAGUUCAAGAACACACCCCGUGGCUGACAUCCGGGACCAGGAAACUGCUAUUGCUGCUGCCAAACCUGCUCUCAACAACCAGAAGGCUGGAGAAUGGCCCCUGGAACGCUCCUGCAGAAAAACUGCUUUUCCACCGUCUCACCUCUGAGCCAAAGCCAGCAGAAGGGGCGCAGCCUGCUGUCUUCCAAAUGGCACCGAGUGCGUCGACAUUGGGCGGAAACCAGUUUGCACCUGAAUCCCCAUUGCCAGUGAGUUUUGAGAUAUGUGGCUUUCUGCUCUCUGACGUCUCCAGAGCAGAAGGGUGGAGCAGAGGUCGAGAGUGACACACCACCGACUCCUCUGUUGUUUCCAUGUCACCCCUC